rnacentral:rRNA from 1 species
UGGGGGAUAUUGCACAAUGGGGGGAAACCCUGAUGCAGCGACGCCGCGUGAGGGAAGAAGGUCUUCGGAUUGUAAACCCCUGUCUUCGGGGACGAACACAAUGACGGUACUCGAGGAGGAAGCCACGGCUAACUACGUGCCAGCAGCCGCGGUAAAACGUAGGUGGCAAGCGUUGUCCGGAAUUACUGGGUGUAAAGGGAGCGCAGGCGGAGCUGCAAGUUGGGUGUCAAAUCUACGGGCUUAACCCGUAUCCGCACUCAAAACUGUAGUUCUUGAGUAGUGCAGAGGUAGGCGGAAUUCCCGGUGUAGCGGUGGAAUGCGUAGAUAUCGGGAGGAACACCAGUGGCGAAGGCGGCCUACUGGGCACCAACUGACGCUGAGGCUCGAAAGUAUGGGUAGCAAACAGGAUUAGAUACCCUGGUAGU